GACGAACGCUGGCGGCGUGCUUAACACAUGCAAGUCGAACGGAAAGGCCCUGCUUUUGUGGGGUGCUCGAGGGGCGAACGGGGGAGUAACACGUGAGUAACCGGCCCUUGACUUUGGGAUAACUUCAGGAAACUGGGGCUAAUACCGGAUAGGAGCUCCGGCUGCAUGGUGGGGGUUGGAAAGUUUCGGCGGUUGGGGAUGGACUCGCGGCUUAUCAGCUUGUUGGUGGGGUAGUGGCUUACCAAGGCUUUGACGGGUAGCCGGCCUGAGAGGGUGACCGGCCACAUUGGGACUGAGAUACGGCCCAGACUCCUACGGGAGGCAGCAGUGGGGAAUAUUGCACAAUGGGCGGAAGCCUGAUGCAGCAACGCCGCGUGCGGGAUGACGGCCUUCGGGUUGUAAACCGCUUUCGCCUGUGACGAAGCGUGAGUGACGGUAAUGGGUAAAGAAGCACCGGCUAACUACGUG
rnacentral:rRNA from 1 species